rnacentral:rRNA from 1 species
UACGUAGGGUGCAAGCGUUGUCCGGAAUUAUUGGGCGUAAAGAGCUCGUAGGCGGUUUGUCGCGUCUGCUGUGAAAACUCGGGGCUUAACUCCGGGCCUGCAGUGGGUACGGGCAGACUAGAGUGCGGUAGGGGAGACUGGAAUUCCUGGUGUAGCGGUGAAAUGCGCAGAUAUCAGGAGGAACACCGGUGGCGAAGGCGGGUCUCUGGGCCGUAACUGACGCUGAGGAGCGACAGCGUGGGGAGCAAACAGG